ensembl:lncRNA
CAUUCUUCUUCCCACUACCUUCACGGCCUCAGUCAGGACUGUUUUGCUCUGCGCCAACGUAACACCGAUUGCGCAGUCAGCUCUCAAACAGGGCUUCAGAACCAGGCAGCAGGAGCACAGGAAAGCACGGAGAGUGUUACAGGACAUAACCUACGUUGCUUGUCUACAGAAGAGAGAGGAGCUGAAGACAUUUGCAGAGCUGAUACAUGAUGGAGAGACUGCUGCAGCAUCAACACCAAAUAAGUGUGUUUCUAUAGAGGAGAAGGAACCUGAGAUGAAAUGAGCACAGAUGCCCCAGCCUGACACUCUAUCCUCAUGGUGCGGAGGUGCUCU